CGGUACCCCUCUGACAGGAUACACAGGAUAUUUUUAUUACAGUAACCCAACAUUAGUGUGAAGAAUAGGUAUUAGAUAUAUACUGUAUUUGUUUAUCACCCAAAUGGAUUGAACACAUUAGGCAACAAAAAGUUAACAUGGAAUUCCGGAAAAUAAAACGGGAUCCGGCGGUCCUUUCUUUGAAGGACUUCAAUGAAAGAUGGCCAACCCUGUUUGAACCCACUCGGGUACAAAAUACAGCCGAAGGAAAAUAGUCAAUAUUAAGGACGAGUUCAGAAGAAUUACAACUGUUUCUCUUGAGUCCACCUUUAUGCAGAAGCUGGACGAAUAUACACCAACAUGUUUUGACUUGUUUAAGUCAAAAGGAGGUGCUAUAAAGGCGGUUUGUAACAGUAUAGACUGAUGAUAAAUGAUAACAUUUAUUUUAUUAAAAUAAAGAUGUGGAAGUUUGAAGUUGAA
ensembl:lncRNA